rnacentral:rRNA from 1 species
AUUGAACGCUGGCGGUAGGCUUAACACAUGCAAGUCGAACGAGUGGCGGACGGGUGAGUAAUGCUUGGGACUCUAGCAUAUGGAGUGGGCUAACUACGGGAAACUGUAGCUCAUAUCGCGUAACAUAGGAUGCGCCCAAGUUGGAUUAGGUAGUUGGUGAGGUAAAGGCUCACCAACCCGACGAACUCUAGCUGGUCUGAGAGGAUGACCAGCCACACGGGGACUGAAGCAUGGCCCAGACUCCUACGGUAGGCAGCAGUGGGGAAUAUUGCGCAAUGGGGGCAACCUGACGCAGCCAUGCCGCGUGAAUGAAGAAGGCCUUCGGGUUGUAAAGUUCUUUCGGUAGCGAGGCGUUAACUACAGAAGAAGCACCGGCUAACUCCGUGCCAGCAGCCGCGGUAAUAC